rnacentral:lncRNA from 1 species
ACCUUGCAGCCUGUGUUGAGAGUUACUGUCUUGAGCAGGUUGGGGCCUGGUGAAGAAGAAGGGGAUGUGAGAGGAGGGUUGGGAGAACCAGCUUUCAGAAAUGCCCUCAUGGCUACCUCAGGCAGAUCAGCACAAAGUGGUUCUGAAACUGACUCAGGAACUGACCUUCUGGGUCUGGGUCCUGCUCUAGCUGUUAACUUGAUGAUUUCAGGCACAACACAACCUCCAGAAGCUUUAGUUUCCUCUGUUAGCGGAAGAGAUUGCUCUCUUCCCAGGUGCUUGGGAGCAAGGUCAUCACAGAGCUGGACCUGGAGGCUCUGGAAGCAUGUCAGAUUCUGCCCUUGUCACCCCUGCCUUAAUGCUAGGUCCUGUCACCAUUGCUGUUGCUAUUGGGCACCUCAGGGCAGCAGGCUGUAAGAACCCAUUGCUAGGUUCAGGCUCUGGGUGUGGCUGUGCUUCUUGCCUUCUGGGGGUCUUGGGCAGGUGUGAGGAUGGCCAUGUUUGUAAAGGGGAGAUUGGUCAUGUUCUCUCACAGGGCAUCUUGUGAUACCAAGACACAUCUGAAAGAUGGCAUAUCUUAGGAGGCAUCCUCUGCUCUGCCACAAGGCUGCUGGGGAUCCAUCGUGAAGGCAGUCAUGCAGACU